UACAGAGGGGGCAAGCGUUAUUCGGAAUUAUUGGGCGUAAAGGGCGCGUAGGCGGCCAGGCAAGUGGAAGGUGAAAUCCCUCGGCUUAACCGAGGAACUGCCCUCCAAACUGCUUGGCUUGAGACCGGGAGAGGUGAGUGGAAUUCCCAGUGUAGCGGUGAAAUGCGUAGAUAUUGGGAGGAACACCGGUGGCGAAGGCGGUUCUCUGGGCCUGUACUGACGCUGAGGAGCGAAAGCGUGGGGAGCGAACAGG
rnacentral:rRNA from 1 species